rnacentral:rRNA from 1 species
GACGAACGCUGGCGGCGUGCUUAACACAUGCCAGUCGAACGGAAAGGCCCUGCUUUUGUGGGGUGCUCGAGUGGCGAACGGGUGAGUAACACGUGAGUAACCUGCCCUUGACUUUGGGAUAACUUCAGGAAACUGGGGCUAAUACCGGAUAGGAGCUCCUGCUGCAUGGUGGGGGUUGGAAAGUUUCGGCGGUUGGGGAUGGACUCGCGGCUUAUCAGCUUGUUGGUGGGGUAGUGGCUUACCAAGGCUUUGACGGGUAGCCCGCCUGAGAGGGUGACCGGCCACAUUGGGACUGAGAUACGGCCCAGACUCCUACGGGAGGCAGCAGUGGGGAAUAUUGCACAAUGGGCGGAAGCCUGAUGCAGCAACGCCGCGUGCGGGAUGACGGCCUUCGGGUUGUAAACCGCUUUCGCCUGUGACGAAGCGUGAGUGACGGUAAUGGGUAAAGAAGCACCGGCUAACUACGUG